GCCUACGGGUGGCUGCAGUGAGGAAUAUUGGUCAAUGGGCGAGAGCCUGAACCAGCCAAGUAGCGUGCGGGAUGAAGGCCCUUGUGGUCGUAAACCGCUUUUAUCAGUGAAUAAAGUGCAUCACGUGUGGUGUCAUUGCAGGUAGCUGAAGAAAAAGGACCGGCUAAUUCCGUGCCAGCAGCCGCGGUAAUACGGAAGGUCCGGGCGUUAUCCGGAAUUAUUGGGUUUAAAGGGAGCGCAGGCGGGAGUGUAAGUCAGCUGUUAAAUAUCAGGGCCCAACUCUGUUAUGCAGUUGAAACUAUAUUUCUUGAGUACGCACAGGGAUGGCGGAAUUCAGGGUGUAGCGGUGAAAUGCUUAGAUAUCCUGAAGAACUCCGAUCGCGAAGGCAGCCAUCCGGAGCGUAACUGACGCUGAGGCUCGAAGGUGCGGGUAUCAAACAGGAUUAGAUACCCUAGUAGUC
rnacentral:rRNA from 1 species